rnacentral:rRNA from 1 species
AUGGGGAGUACGCUCCCAGGCGACGACGGGUAGCCGACCUGAGAGGGUGACCGGCCACACUGGGACUGAGACACGGCCCAGACUCCUACGGGAGGCAGCAGUGGGGAAUAUUGCACAAUGGGCGAAAGCCUGAUGCAGCGACGCCGCGUGAGGGAUGACGGCCUUCGGGUUGUAAACCUCUUUCAGCAGGGACGAAGCGAAAGUGACGGUACCUGCAGAAGAAGCACCGGCCAACUACGUGCCAGA